CAGUCGCCGCGGGAAUACGUAGGUCCCGAGCGUUGUCCGGAUUUAUUGGGCGUAAAGCGAGCGCAGGCGGUUAGAUAAGUCUGAAGUUAAAGGCAGUGGCUUAACCAUAGUACGCUUUGGAAACUGUUUAACUUGAGUGCAAGAGGGGAGAGUGGAAUUCCAUGUGUAGCGGUGAAAUGCGUAGAUAUAUGGAGGAACACCGGUGGCAAAAGCGGCUCUCUGGCUUGUAACUGACGCUGAGGCUCGAAAGCGUGGGGAGCAAACAGGAUUAGAUACCCCCGUAGUCCCUGUCUCUUAUACA
rnacentral:rRNA from 1 species